rnacentral:rRNA from 1 species
AAAACAACGGUGAUCCCCUUGGUAACGGCGAGUGACGAGGGGAAGGCCCAGCCUUAGAGGCCAUUCGUGGCGAUGCAGGCUAUAAUAAAUAGUAAGAGGGAUUAGUAUUGACUUCUCGAGUCUAUUGGGAUGUAGAGCAUGAUAGGGUGAUAGCCCCGUAGAGUGUUAAUACUAAUCCCCCUCAACUGUUUUAUUAUGAGUAGUACAGUUUGGGAAUGCUGUGCGAAGAUGGGUGGUAGGUGCCACUCCAGGCUAAAUACUUUGACGAGACCGAUAGCGAACAAGUACCGUGAGGGAAAGUUGAAAAGUACUCUGAAGAGAGAGUGCAAAGUACGUGAAAUAGGGUAAGAGGAAGCGUUAGGGCGUCGUUGAUGGUUAUCAGCACGGGGUUAAUGGUAAAUAGAGGAACCCCAACUUAAGGAUUUUAAAUUAUUUACUUUCGAGUUUAUAGUUUAACCUGAGUUGGGACUUUAUUUACUAUUGGGGGAGUCGUAUGGACUCCGUGCUUAUGAUCCUUAACGGCCCGUCUUGAAACACGGACCAAGGAGUCUAGAUGGGAUGCGAGUAUUAGGCCUGUAAGGUUUGAAUGCGAAAUGAAAGUGACGAGGCCGGUUAACGCCGGCGGGGGGGUGGUUUGAUUGAGUAAUCAUCUCUUCAUAAGCAUCCCGUCUAGGACCCGAAAGACAGUGAACUAUGCUUGAGCAGGGUGAAGCCAGAGGAAACUCUGGUGGAGGCCCGACAAGGUUUUGACGUGCAAAUCAAUCUUUAGACUUGAGGAUAGGGGCGAAAGACUAAUCGAACUGUUUGGUAGCUGGUUCCAGCCGAAGUUUCCCUCAGGAUAGCUAGGGCGAUAUAGUAGUUUUAUGCGGUAAAGCGAAUGAUUAGAGGUUACGGGGCUGCUUGCGGCCUUGGCCUAUUCUCAAACUUUGAAUGUGUAAGAUUGGGAUUGGUACUUAACGGACCAAUUCCAGACAAUAUUCGCCCUUAGUGGGCCAUUUUUGGUAAGCAGAACUGGCGAUGCGGGAUGAACCGGACACUCCGUUAAGGUGCCUAAAUAUCCGCUCAUUGACACCACAAAAGGAGUUGGUUCAUAUAGACAGUAGGACGGUGGCCAUGGAAGUUGGAAUCCGCUAAGGAGUGUGUAACAACUCACCUACCGAAUGAACUAGCCCUGAAAAUGGAUGGCGCUAAGCGGGUUACCGAGACGGGGUACCUAGGGUUGAUAUGAUACCUUAGGUAGUAGGCUGGCGUGGGGGUCGGGAUGAAGUUAUGAGGUGACUUGUAAUGGACCGACCUCUAGUGCAGAUCUUGGUGGUAGUAGCAAUUACUCAGGUGAGGGUGAUUACCUGAGGGCUGAAGUGGAGAAGGGUUCCCCAGGAACAGCAGUUGGCUGGGGGUGAGUCGGUCCUAAGGAAUAGGCUAAUAGCCGUUUAAAAUGAGAUAUUUAUUUUUUAAAAGAGAUAUAUUAUUUGAGUUCAAUAGGGAAGCUGGUUAACAUUCCAGCACUAGAAUGGUGAUUUAAGUGGAGACACAUUUAGGGUAGUAGUGACCUUGAGUACAGGAGUGAGGAGAGUUAUCCUUUCUUGUUAAGAGGUAGGGUGGGGUCAUGAAUUGCGUCGCGCAGCGAAGGACCUCAGUCUACCGAACACAACCUCAAUUUUGAGGCUGUCACAUCUUUGUACGCUUGCCUUGAAAAGCUACUACCCUUAUUAAUCGCCUUCUAUCCGUACCCAGAACCGCAUCAGGUCUCCUAGGUUAGUAGCCUUUAGCCUUUGGAACAACGUGUUUAAGGGAAGUCGGCAAAUUAGAUUUGUAACUUCGGGAGAAAAAUUGGCUGGGGCCCAACCAAAGCCCGUUAAAAGGUGGAGGAGGGAACCCCAACUGGUACGAUACAAGGGAAUCCAACUGUCUAUUUAAAACAUAGCAUUGCGAAGGCCUCUACAAGGUGUUGACGCAAUGUGAUUUCUGCCCAGUGCUCUGAAUGUCAAGGUGAAGAGAUUCGAAUACGCGCGGGUAAACGGCGGGAGUAACUAUGACUCUCUUAAGGUAGCCAAAUGCCUCGUCAUCUAACUAGUGACGCGCAUGAAUGGAUUAAUGAGAUUCCCACUGUCCCUAGAUACAUUCCAGCGAAACCACAGGCAAGGGAACGGGCUUGCGCAGAACAGCGGGGAAAGAAGACCCUGUUGAGCUUGACUUUAGCUUGAUUUGUGAAGAAACGUGGGGGGUGUAGUGUAGGGGGGAGGUAUCUUUAAGAUGCCGCCGUUGAAACACCCCCACCCCCACAGUUUCCUUACUAAAAGGAUGAUAUAUAUACUUUUAUUGUUUUAAAACUUCAAUAGAGGUUGAAUAUAAAUCUUUGACAGUUUCAGGUGGGAAGUUUGGCUGGGGCGGCACAUCUGUUAAAGAAUAACGCAGGUGUCCUAAGGACAACUCAUUGAGAACAGAAAUCUCAUGUAGAGUAAAAGGGCAAAAGUUGUCUUGAGUAGAUGUUUCAGUGUGAUAUUUACAUGGGAAACCAUGGCCUAUCGAUCCUUUGGAGUUUAGCCCAGCGCGUGGGGCCAGAGGUGUCAGAAAAG